UUGGAAAACAUUCUGAAGUGAGUUUGUGGUGCUCUGUUUUGUAGUGUGUUUUUGUACCUUGUGUUCCGUCUUAGUUUAUCAGGUAUAUUGUGUUGG